rnacentral:lncRNA from 1 species
CCCUUGAUACUAGUGGUUGUCAUACUCCUUUUGAGUUUGUUCACGUUGGUGGCCUAAUAAUUGAUUGGCCAACUAAAUCACUAUUUAUCUUCAGCUUCAUGAUUACUGUCCACUAACAUGUUAUAAACGGUUUGGUUUUCCGAAGGAGUAGUCUGACUUGUCUAGAGAGUGAGGUACAGGCUUACAACAGCAUUCACAUUCAUUUCCUAAUGAGGUAAGCCUAUCAAUGUUCUCUGUUGGUUGGAUUCGUUUGUCUUAUGCACUAUGGAUUAAUUCGAAUGUCAAAGAAGUAACAACCGUGUUCUUUCCCUGACAACUUAAUGUUCAUCUCUGUUUAACUGUGUACUACAAGAAAGCAGUUAGGUUAACAAGGGUUGGUUGGUGGAUUGAAUUUUUAACUGCAAACUGAUAAGGUCCUAUGGACCUUGGUGGAGAGCAGAGGUUCGUCAUCUAGGUUCUACAUGCCAGUAUUUAGUUGGUCACGUUUUUUAUCCUGUUUCUAGCACCAAGAUUGAAAAUCGUGUUGUUGGAUUAUGAGCCAAAAUCCCAUUUUCAGAUAAGAAAUGCUCAUCGUGUGAUAAUUCACCUACAGUCUUGGAUUUUUGUCAGAUUCAUUCUAGCUAGGACUCAGCAAAAUGAUGUUGGUUUGACAGGAUACAACGACCUACAAAACUUCUCCUCAAAAAGCAAUGUGAAUAAUGCCUUUUAUGUCAUGUGCGCAUUUGUUGAUUGUUGUAUUGCAAAUGAAGUCAAGCCUUCCUUUGCGCUGUACUUCUCCCAAGGUUCACAUCAGUAAUCAACUUCGCACUUCUAGUAAAGGUUUGCCUUUUUUUUAUGCUCGUUGGUUUGCUGCAAUAAUGCAUGGGAUUAAUUAUGUUUAUUUGAAAUGGCUUUAUCUGAUGUAAAUGAAGUUUAAUUGUGAAACACUUACAUGGCAGUCAUGUUGGUAACUACAUCAUUAUGAAUCUGAUUGUGUGAGAGACUGAUACGGGGAAAAUAGAUAAGGAAGUGCUUUUGUUGUCAGUGAUGAGCUUGAACCAAAAUGUGGAUUGAUUCAUAAGUAGAAAAUAAUGAUACUAAGCUCUGCCCCCUGUUGAUUUGCUCUUUGAAGUUGAAGAGAUCAAUCCUACGUCAUGGAUGCGUGAGAGAGAUUGACCCGCAACUACGCUCUGUGACCAAUUGAUAGAAUCACGUCAAUGCCAAACAGAGUCUUACUGAUAAAGUUAACAAAUUAUUCAACGUCAUCACCCAAACAACGACCAAAUUAAAGUAGCCGUUUACAUCAAAGUUGUUUGUAAGAAACUUGGGCACGCAAUCGCUUGUUGUCGGCAUCCUUGCCCCACUGCCAAGAUUUGUUAGCUAAGCAUUCAUCUACUCACAGUAGACCUAACAGAGAUAUAUAAUUGCAUAAUUCCUCUUGGCUGCACACUGGGAGGUUUGAAAUACAAGUACCUGGAUUUCUUGUAGAUAAGAGCAUUCCACAGGAGUAGUUUUCAUGAUCAUAGAAAAUAGAUACUGAACUUCCAUCCUACCCGUAUGCACCGUGCAUUGUUUAUGUCCUUUCACUUUCAUUUUAAUCAUUCGAGGAAAACAUGAAAUCUUUGUUUCUUUUUUACAUCUGCAAGGUUGAUAUUGCUUACUCAAUAUGGAUAUCUGUAGCAGCAUAACUGGAUAAGUGAUGUCUACGCCUUGUGUAGCACUCGUAGCAAUAAUGCAGUCCAGUAAUGCUGGGUGGCAUAAAUCAAUUUAUUUUUUGUUAUUCAAUGGUACAUCAACAUACGGACAUCAAUGGAUAUUUUGUGGGAUACAUAAGCCUGCGGACAAUAAUGAAUGUGUUUUUGGAAUUAUAGGUGAUAUCUCUCAUUUAAAUCUCUUUGUUGACUUGGAGAUUAGAAGGGAAGGAAGAGAAGACUAAAGAAAAUACUUAGAUUUAUGCCUUGGCAUAUCUCUCAUUUAAAGGUGUAGACAGAAACGGAAUGUUGCGUCUUCAGAACCUAAAUGUUUGUAUCUUAUGCGCUGCUAUUAAGUGUCUUUUUCAGUUCAUGUGUUAUCUAAUAAGCAUGGAGACUUUUUAUUAGACUGAAUUAGCCAUGCAGGCUAGCUAUGGAUAAACAGAUCUCAGGCAUAGAGUCAUGAAUCAAAUCUAUAAACAAUAAUAUUUUUAUUACACUUAGAAUAUGCUAUCUUUUACUAUGUUCAUUUGAUCAAAAGCAUCAUCUUGUACAAUUCAACUUUUAUCCCAAAAGCAUCAUGCAACAUUUCUUUUGUCAACAUUGGAGAAAAGUUGGGCAUCCAUCAGCAUUUUCUUGAUUCUCGCGAACAUUUUUUCUUAUUCACUACAUAAGUUAUGAGAUUGAAAGUUGAUUGGCUCACUGCUUUGUUUGAAAUGUAUAAUUGACUGCAUUUUUGGAUGACUUGUUAUUUCCAACAGGGAACAGUUUGAUCCAAAAGUUUUCACAGAUGCAAAUUCCUUGAUGCCGUAGACAUCGGAUGCAGAUCAGCAUUCUAUCUCUCUCAGUCUUGACAUAGAUUCUGCAGUUGUAGCAAGAAAUCUCUGUUUUGGCUUGCUGCUUGGUCCACUUUUUAGGUGUUCUUAGGUAGGAAAAACAAGCCACAGUAUGGAUUUGUGAUAUUUGUUAGACAACAGGUCAACAGCAACAAUAACGUCGUCGCUGUCUGUUGAGGAACAAUGGCAAGAGGCACACUGCAAACAAGGAUACAGUUCAGGUCUCUUGUUCUUUCUUUUCCCCCACUCCAUCCCCACUGCAUUCAUUCCUGGACAAAGCUUAACCCUUCAUGUGUUCCUUUCAUCUUUUGAGCAGGAAAAACAUCUCUGCACCAACCAGGAGAAUAUCAGUGGGAGCAGUGUCCAGAAAGGCAGCCGCUUAUGGCUCGGCGGCAUAUAGGCUCCAGACGACGCACCUCAUCUCGCUCACUGGUCGCUGGUCGAUUUAUCCUGCAUAAUCGGUGAUUUUGGUGCUGGUCUGUGGUGUCACAAAUGUCUAGCACCUUACUGAACACUGCGUGCAGUGAGGGAGAAGUUAUGUUCUCGAACGUCUAGUGUAGAGACCAGAGUGGUUCCAUCUACGAGCUUGCUUUUCUUCCAUGUACGAGAGUUCCCUUCUGUACUAGGCACGUUUUUGUUAGUGUUCUAGUGUGUGUGUGGCGCGCGCGUGUGUGUGAAUUCAUGUAGAUUUUACCUGUAUUCUUAACUUAAUUUUACUGACAAGUUCUGUCACCUGUUACCUCUGUGAGAUAUAAAUUGUUUCUAUUCACAAGUGUGAAUUGAUCAAAUGGGUUAUAUAUUUUCAUGGAGAGAGAAAAUGACAAAUGGGGCUUAAAUUUUCUUUUUAGCGUACUGAAGCUUAAAUUUACGAUUAGGAAUCAGCGACCUUUUUUUCCUUUUG